rnacentral:rRNA from 1 species
AGAGUUUGAUCAUGGCUCAGAUUGAACGCUGGCGGCAUGCCUUACACAUGCAAGUCGAACGGUAACGCGGGGGCAACCCUGGCGACGAGUGGCGAACGGGUGAGUAGCGCAUCGGAACGUGCCCAGUAGUGGGGGAUAGCUCGGCGAAAGCCGGAUUAAUACCGCAUACGACCUACGGGUGAAAGCGGGGGACCGCAAGGCCUCGCGCUAUUGGAGCGGCCGAUGCCCGAUUAGCUAGUUGGUGAGGUAAAGGCUCACCAAGGCAACGAUCGGUAGCUGGUCUGAGAGGACGACCAGCCACACUGGGACUGAGACACGGCCCAGACUCCUACGGGAGGCAGCAGUGGGGAAUUUUGGACAAUGGGGGAAACCCUGAUCCAGCCAUGCCGCGUGCGGGAAGAAGGCCUUCGGGUUGUAAACCGCUUUUGGCAGGAACGAAACGGCGCGCGCCAAUACCGCGCGUUAAUGACGGUACCUGCAGAAUAAGCACCGGCUAACUACGUGCCAGCAGCCGCGGUAAUACGUAGGGUGCAAGCGUUAAUCGGAUUUACUGGGCGUAAAGCGUACGCAGGCGGCUGUGCAAGACAGGUGUGAAAUCCCCGGGCUUAACCUGGGAACUGCAUUUGUGACUGCAUAGCUAGAGUCCGUAAGAGGGGGGUGGAAUUCCACGUGUAGCAGUGAAAUGCGUAGAGAUGUGGAGGAACACCGAUGGCGAAGGC